rnacentral:lncRNA from 1 species
GAUCAAUUGAGCCCAGAGGAGCAGUUGCUGGUUAAGUGUGCUGCAGUCAUUGGUCACUCCUUCCACAUAGAUCUGCUGCAGCACCUCCUGCCUGGUUGGCAUAAGAACAAGCUGCUUCAGGUGCUGAGGGCCCUUGUGGAUAUACAGGUGCUCCGCUGGUUCAACAAGAGUCAAGAGCUUCCUGCCGAGUCAGUCUUAGUGCCUUCCUCUAUCAAAACUAUCAAACACACCAAAGAGGAGGAGAAGAAAAAGUCAGAGGCUGACUCUCCUUUCAGUUUGCAAGAGAAAUUAUCCCUACCUCAGAUGGAGGUGCUAGAAUUCGGAGUGCCGCUAUUACGGGAAGCUGCUUGGGAACUGUGGCCCAAGGCACAGCAGAUAGCCCUGCACCUUGAAUGUGCCUGCUUUCUCCGAGAUUUGGCCUGCCGCUGUGGGAGCUGUGGGGGGGACUUUGUCCCCUUCCACCGUUUUGCCGUCUGUUCUACUAAGAGCUGCAGUGGGACCUCCCGGUUCUGUAGUUACAAAGAUACUGGUUCAGUACUAACACAAGUGAUCACAGACAAAUUGCAGCUGUCUUCUCCCCAAGAUAGUUUUCAGUUCCAGACAAAACCAUUCAGAAGUCGGGAGGCCUUCACAAGUGAACACUGCAGGUAAAUGGAGAUGCUGAGAGUGGGUGUGGGGGGCCAGGAAAUGAGAC